CAAGGAGGGGUACAGGGCCCAGCGGGAGCCGGAAGAAGUGGGAGGACACUUGGCCUAAUCAUGAGAAAGCUUUCUUGGAGGAGAUGACCCCUGAGCUCAGCCAGGAAGGGUGCAUGAGACUGGCCAGAUGCUGGAGUGCAAGCAGGUCAAGCAGGGGAAUGGUAUGGGUGAACGCACAGAGGUGUGACUUAGCACACUUGGGCACGUGAUGUACAAGGAUAAACAUCCUCACAUGUUUCCACAGCCCCAGGAGCCUCACCAUCCAGGCUGAUGACCCCAAGCCAAAAGAGGUGGCCAUGUCCAAUAUGCUCUUUGUGCAGGAAGAAAAUUUGUUUGUUCAGACCAAAUGAAGGCUUUGACUUAUGGAACCCAGAGUACACUGCGUGGGCCGUCUCUUCCCCUCUUGGCAUCGGCUGGGUCUCUUGGAUCACACACUCUGGAGGAAGCCAGGCUAUGUGAGAAGCCCAACUACUCCGCCUCCACCAUGCUGUGAGGAAGUCUCCAUAGCAAGGCCCCAUGGAGAGUGCUGCCUGGCUAGACGCUAGCCCUCCCAGCCAUCCCAGCUAGGGCACCAGACACGUGAGUGACAAGCCAUGUGGGAAGACCUGCCCAGAUACUUGUUAAUUACAAAGGGAAAGAAUGGUAAGUGAAUAGUGGAGAAAUUGGACAUCCCAGCCCUCCGAGAAUGAGAAGGACAGCAUUCUUUCUGCGAGAUUCCUGCCAAAAAUGCAUAACCCAAAUCUAAUCAUGAAGAAACAUCAGACAUAACCCAAUGGAGGGACAUUCUACAAAAUCACUGGCCAGUACUCAAAAAAAAAAAAAAGCAACAACAACAAAAGAAAACAAGAUAAAGCGAGACUGGGAAGCUCUUUCAGACUAAAGUAGACAAUUAAAUGGGCAAAUCUAAAUGAGACCUGUCAAUGAGAUAAAUCUAAGUGAGAUUUGUAGGUUUGGUGAUCAUAUCGUGCCCAUGUUCCUCUCCUAAUUUUGAUCAUUGUACUGUGUUAUGUAAGAUGUUAAUAUUUGAAGAAUCUGGGUGAAGAGUAUAAUGGGAAUUCUUUGUACUAUUUUUGCAACUUUCCUGUAAGUCUGAAAUUAUUUCAAAAUGAAAAGUGAAAAAAGAAAGAGAAGGAGAGGCUGGAGAGAGACCACACUCAGUCCCUCUGGGUGGAGCUGGUAUGGGGCCUGACUCAAGCAAAUGGGAAAGGAAAUUCUGCCACCCUCAGACGAAACAUCUGGAACCUGAGCUCUGAUGAUGACGGCCUGGCCCUGCCGCCUUUUAGAGACGUGUACUGGAAUAUUUCCAGAUGAAAUGCUGUGAGGCCUGGUUUUGCUUCUAAGUAAUGCAGGAGAGGGGAGUUGGUCGGGGGUGCAGAUGGGACAGAAC
rnacentral:lncRNA from 1 species